rnacentral:rRNA from 1 species
AGCAGUAGCCGCGGGAAUACGUAGGUGGCAAGCGUUGUCCGGAAUUAUUGGGCGUAAAGGGCUCGCAGGCGGUUUCUUAAGUCUGAUGUGAAAGCCCCCGGCUCAACCGGGGAGGGUCAUUGGAAACUGGGAAACUUGAGUGCAGAAGAGGAGAGUGGAAUUCCACGUGUAGCGGUGAAAUGCGUAGAGAUGUGGAGGAACACCAGUGGCGAAGGCGACUCUCUGGUCUGUAACUGACGCUGAGGAGCGAAAGCGUGGGGAGCGAACAGGAUUAGAUACCCGGGUAGUCCCUGUCUCUUAUAC